rnacentral:rRNA from 1 species
GUAGGGAAUAUUGGACAAUGGGCGCAAGCCUGAUCCAGCCAUGCCGCGUGAGUGAUGAAGGCCCUAGGGUUGUAAAGCUCUUUCACCGGUGAAGAUAAUGACGGUAACCGGAGAAGAAGCCCCGGCUAACUUCGUGCCAGCAGCCGCGGUAAUACGAAGGGGGCUAGCGUUGUUCGGAAUUACUGGGCGUAAAGCGCACGUAGGCGGACAUUUAAGUCAGGGGUGAAAUCCCGGGGCUCAACCCCGGAACUGCCUGUGAUACUGAGUGGCUGGAGUAUGGAAGAGGUAAGUGGAAUUCCGAGUGUAGAGGUGAAAUUCGUAGAUAUUCGGAGGAACAACAGUGGCGAAGGCGGCUUACUGGUCCAUUACUGACGCUGAGGUGCGAAAGCGUGGGGAGCAAACAGGAUUAGAAACCCGGGUAGUCC